rnacentral:lncRNA from 1 species
UUCAGGUAGGAACAGAGCUUCCUGGCUGGGCGUGCCUGAGAGAUUUGGCCAUUCAGUUCCUCGGAGCAGGCGUUCCAGCCUCUGGUGGCCGGUGCUGGGAUCACAGAGCUCUCACCUUAGGUGGCCCUGAGUUUCAGGAUUCACUGACUCCCAGAAGUGAUUCUAGAUGCGACUGCUUGUGGCUACUGAGGUUGCCCUUGGAGGCCAAAGGCGUCAGAUACGACGCCUGGAAGUUGAAUUUACAGAAUUGCCAGCUGCCCAACAUGGAUUCUUGGAACCAAACCUUUAGAAUUCAACAAACAACCAACCCAGGGGGCUGGAGAGAUGGCUCAGCACUCAAGAGCACUGACUGCUGCUCUUCCAGAGGUCCUGAGUUCAAUUCCCAGCGACCACAUGGUGGUUCACAACCAUCUAUAAUGAGUUCCAAUGCCCUCUUCUGGUGUGUCUGAAGACAGCGACAUAAAAUGAAUAAAUCUUUUUAAAAACCCAA